UGAGCAGGAGCAGUUGACAGACCCUCGUUUGUUUUCCGGGGGUGGAGUGGGGGGGGGGGUGGCUGCAGCCUUUCACAGCAAAGUAUACGAAGGCUGGAGUGGCCAGUGAGAGCUGUCAGUGGGUGUCACCAGCGACAGAAACACCCCAGGAAUAAAGAACGGACCCCACGGGCAGUGCCUGAUCUUCCACAACCCACGUGAACACACAUCGUCUCCGUUUGCUUUCAAGGCAGCAGGAGGUGGGGGGGUCACAAUGAUCCCCCCCAUUUCAAAACAGAGGAAGCUGAGGUCCAAAGAGAAGAAACGGCUUGCCCAAAGGCUCCCCAAGACAUCCUGGUUUCCAGGCGUAGUGGGCAGAACAGUGGUCUCCCAAAGACGUCCGCGUUCUGACGCCUGGAGCCUGUGACUACCCCAGGAAACAAAUAGCUUCUUCAAUCUAUUAUGUCAUUGGAUGCUCACAGCAACUCUCUGGGUGACUGGUCCACAGAUGCGCGUGUGACCUGGGAGCCACUGAGAGUCAGCCUGAAGACGAGCUAAGACUACAGGGAGGGACGCGCUCUUUCUGCCGGGGCGGCUGAGCUGUUAGGAUGUAAGCCUGAAGCUGCUGGGGGGCCACCUUUACCACCACACAAGGAGAAGCUACCUGAGGAUGAAGCCAGCACAGGGAGAGGCAGAACUGAGAGAUGGAGAGAGAAGGAGAGAAGGAGUGCUGAUGAUCUUGUUCCGGCCCCUGGAUCCAGCUGUACCUGAAGCCUGUAACCC
rnacentral:lncRNA from 1 species